AAUGAACGCUGGCGGCGAUGGAUUAGGCAUGCAAGUCGAACGUGCUCCCUUCGGGGAGAAAGUGGCGAAAGGGUGAGUAACACGUGAGCAACCUGCCUCCGGAUCCGGAAUAAUCCAGGGAAACUUGGUCUAAAACCGGAUGAAGACAUUGGUCCGCAUGGUCUAAUGUUAAAAUAUUUAUAGUCCGGAGAGGGGCUCGCGGCCCAUUAGCUUGUUGGCGGGGUAAUGGCCCACCAAGGCUACGACGGGUAGGUGGUCUGAGAGGAUGGUCACCCACACUGGGACUGAGACACUGCCCAGACUCCUACGGGAGGCUGCAGUCGAGAAUCUUCCGCAAUGGGCGCAAGCCUGACGGAGCGAUGCCGCGUGAGGGAUGAAGGCCUUCGGGUUGUAAACCUCUGUCAUCCGGGACGAAAACAAUGACGGUACCGGAAAAGGAAGCCACGGCUAACCACGUG
rnacentral:rRNA from 1 species